GUUGGAAGGGACCCACAAGGAUCAUCAAAGUCCAGCCCUUGUCACCUGCUCUCCCGCAGCACUGGGAAAGGAGCAGGGGGUGAGAUUAAGCCUGGAGAUACUUGAGAAGUUCAACCUGGCCAAACUGCUGCCCAGGAACCAGGAAUGUGAGGCUGGGUGGGAUCUCUCCACCCCACCCCAUACGCCUCCGAAGGCAAUUCCAGCCUCACCAUCCCAGCUGUGGGACAACGAGGAUGGAUGGGGAGUUGCGGAAGAAGGGCCGGAGCGCUGAGAACAGUGUGGAAAAGCCAUUAGAAACCUGAGCUGGGGACGCGGCCCCGGGAUUAGUCGCACAUGGAGUCAUCCAGAGCAGAGACAGAAUUUGGACUUGAUGAUCCCUGGGAGUCCCUUUCAACUCAGGAUAUUCUGUGAUUCCAGGAACUGGGGAUGGUCAGACCAGGACCUGGCACCAAGACCCAUCCCCACAAUCUUGUGCUCCACUGGGAUUGUCCCUUCCAGUUGUCAGGUUGAGGAAUUUGCUUUUCUGCUUGCUAAUAUUUUGGGAGAAAUUCCUGUGUUUGAAUUCCUGUCUGGUCGCUGCCUUUUCCAAGUGUUUGUCUUUGGUCCAGGAUGUAUCCUGUCUGCAGGUAAAGUGAGACAAUUAAGGAAAUAUCCCGUGGAGCCAGGCUGGGAGAGCUGGGAAUGUCCAGUCUAGAGACAAGAACGUUCCAGGGAGACCUUAGAGGCUCUCCCAGUGUCUAAAGGGGCUCCAAGA